UAAAAGAGAAAAGAAAAACAAAAAAAAGAAAAUACAAUUAAACAGAGGAAGAUCAAUCCUUUUAUUUCUCAUGUGUUUUUUCAUUUUUCUUCUUUACUUCAUCCUAUCAUGAUUUUCUUAUCCCUGAAGUAUAUCGUUCCUUGUUACAGAAAAUUUCAAGAAAAAGGUGAAAGGAAAAAGAAAAAAAGAAAACAGAAUUAAUCGUUAGAAAGAACGAGAUGAUGAAUUUUUUUUGAAAUUCGAGAGAAUUGUUGAAAAAAAAAAAAGAAGAAUCCAUAAUAAAAUAAUGAAAAUUGCAAGAGAAAAGAAAGAAAACAAAUAGCAGAAUUAACGUUAGAAAGUUGAAAUUAGCUGAACGUUUAUAGAUAAGAGAAUUAGCGGAAAAAAGAAGAAUUUCGAAAAGAGAAAGAGUAAAAAAAAAGAAAAGGAAGAAAAAAAAGAAGGAAACAAGGUAAAAAAAAUUGUUGCUGAAAUUCAUGAGGUGGAAGAAGAAGAAGAAGAAGAAGAAGAAGGUGUGACUUCGAAAAAUGAGAAGAAACAUUUAGAAAAUUUAUCAGAAAAAGAGAAAGAAAGGAAGGAGCGAAGAGACGAGCAAAAAUCUCUGCGUAAGAAGGUCAGGUUGAAAUUUAUGAAGUAAUUCGAAAAAAAAAAAGGAAGAAAAAGAGGAAGAGGAAGAAGAAGAAGAAGAAAAAGAAGUAACAGCAGUAAUAAUAAUAGUAGUAGUAGUAGUAGUAGUAGAAUUAGUAAGCCAGGUGUGCAGGUGCACAGGUGAGAUUUUGAGCAUGCUGUGCUUGUUCGCGGAGAAUUCAGAAACAGGUGCGCCCUUUUAUUGGACCCCCUUUUAAGAAACUCCUCUCGACACGUAAGAAAGAUUGACUUUGCUUUAUAUUAUUCUUUUUCUAUUUUCAUUCGUUAUUUUUUGCUUCUUUUGUUUCAAAUUAUUAUUAUUAUUAUUAUUAUUAUUAUUAUUAUUAUUAUUAUGAUUAUGAUUACAAUUACAAUUCUUAAAGGUCAUUGAAUACUGAGUGUUCUUCAUUGACAAUGAGUUUCAAUAUGGAAGACAGAGUGCAGUAGCAUUGGCAUCGAUUCGAUUCGAAUACGAAUACGAAUCGAAUCGUGAUUGAUGAUAAUUGUCAUUACUACAUGGGGUAGAGAAAAGCAAUUUUUACUUGAAAAGAAAGAGAGAGAGAGAGAGAGGAGAGAUAUCUGACUGAUAAAAAAAAAAAAAAAAAAAAAAAAAAUUUACCUUCACCGAUUUCAGUAAGAUAUCAUUAUCGAUCGUUCUCAUAUCAUCUUAUAAUUAGCGUAUCCGGCUUGUCUCGUUGAAAAGAAGAGGCUCGUUUUUCAUACUCGAACUUAGGGCUAUAAUAUUAACCUGUUAAAAACUCGAUGGGACGAGGAGGGAAAGAGAGAGAGAGAGAGAGAGAGAGAGAGAGAGAAAGAGAGAGGGAGAGGAAAGAAAAAGAGGUUUUUUCGAUUAAUCAAUGAAAUUUAUUUCGACUGGAAAAUAUUCUUUGAGAAGAAUGGAGAUUCAUAAUAAUUUCAUUCACUUUUAAUGAACAUUAUGAAUCUUAUUAUAAAUUUCUAAUGUUUUCUUAAUAUUAGUAGUUGAAGAAGAAAGAAAAGUAAAAAAAAAAAAAAAAAAAAAAAAAAAUAAAAAGAAAAAGAAGUUGAUUUAUUUAUUUCUUUUUAUGGCAAAAAAAAAAAAAGAAAUAAAUAAAAUUAAAAGAUUAUCCUUGCGACAAGUUAACGAUCAAGAAUAUGUAUUUUGAUUAAUAUAUAUACAUGUAUUUCUCGUCGUCGAUUUACAUUACUGUAUGUCAUGUAUUCGAAGAAAGAAUUACCAUGAAUAUUAUUCUACAAUGAUUUUCUCGUUAAUGAUAAAAAACAUUUGAGUAUUGGUAAAUCACAUGACAUAUAUUACGUGAAUUUAAGAGCAUUGAAAAAUUCUCUCUCUCUCUCUCUCUCUCAGUGUGUGUGUGAUUGUAUUUAUAUAUAGUGUGUAUAUAUAUUGAUUAAAAAAAGUAUAUAAGAAAUAAGAUAGAAAGAUUCGAAUGAAUAUAAUUUAAUUACAAAAUUUACUGUAAAAAAAAAUAUAUAUAUAUAUAUAUAUAUAUUAUUAAAAACUGUAAAGUUUGAAUGUUCGUCGGUCGCGUGACUAAAGGUGAUCACGUGACUUACACUAUGUGAUUAUAAGCGCGUUAAAAAGUA